rnacentral:rRNA from 1 species
GUGCCAGCAGCCGCGGUAAUACGUAGGUGGCGAGCGUUGUCCGGAUUUACUGGGCGUAAAGAGCGCGCAGGCGGUCGAUCAAGUCGGAUGUGAAAGCCCCCGGCUCAACUGGGGAGGGUCAUUCGAUACUGGUCGACUCGAAGGCAGGAGAGGGAAGCGGAAUUCCCGGUGUAGUGGUGAAAUGCGUAGAUAUCGGGAGGAACACCAGUGGCGAAGGCGGCUUCCUGGCCUGUUCUUGACGCUGAGGCGCGAAAGCUAGGGGAGCAAACGGGAUUAGAUACCCCAGUAGUCC